rnacentral:rRNA from 1 species
GUCGAGCGGACCGACGGGAGCUUGCUCCCUUAGGUCAGCGGCGGACGGGUGAGUAACACGUGGGUAACCUGCCUGUAAGACUGGGAUAACUCCGGGAAACCGGGGCUAAUACCGGAUGCUUGAUUGAACCGCAUGGUUCAAUCAUAAAAGGUGGCUUUUAGCUACCACUUACAGAUGGACCCGCGGCGCAUUAGCUAGUUGGUGAGGUAACGGCUCACCAAGGCGACGAUGCGUAGCCGACCUGAGAGGGUGAUCGGCCACACUGGGACUGAGACACGGCCCAGACUCCUACGGGAGGCAGCAGUAGGGAAUCUUCCGCAAUGGACGAAAGUCUGACGGAGCAACGCCGCGUGAGUGAUGAAGGUUUUCGGAUCGUAAAACUCUGUUGUUAGGGAAGAACAAGUACCGUUCGAAUAGGGCGGUACCUUGACGGUACCUAACCAGAAAGCCACGGCUAACUACGUGCCAGCAGCCGCGGUAAUACGUAGGUGGCAAGCGUUGUCCGGAAUUAUUGGGCGUAAAGCGCGCGCAGGCGGUUUCUUAAGUCUGAUGUGAAAGCCCCCGGCUCAACCGGGGAGGGUCAUUGGAAACUGGGGAACUUGAGUGCAGAAGAGGAGAGUGGAAUUCCACGUGUAGCGGUGAAAUGCGUAGAGAUGUGGAGGAACACCAGUGGCGAAGGCGACUCUCUGGUCUGUAACUGACGCUGAGGCGCGAAAGCGUGGGGAGCGAACAGGAUUAGAUACCCUGGUAGUCCACGCCGUAAACGAUGAGUGCUAAGUGUUAGAGGGUUUCCGCCCUUUAGUGCUGCAGCAAACGCAUUAAGCACUCCGCC